CUGUGUGUAGAGAAUUUAGGGGGAAAAGUGGCUGUUGUGAAAGAUUGUGUUAGAAACAUAGACUUUUUAAAGCUACCCUUUCUAAUUAAAGCUUUUUUCGCAACAACCGGGCUGGGAGGGUAACUUUCCUAAACGGGCCCACUCCUCAGCCCGAAGGGGGCACUUCCGGGGCCGAUGAACUCUUGCAGGCUGGGUAGGUACUUAUACUCCCACAAUACUUCAAUGGUUUUACCAUUGAAAGAAAGAUUGAAAGAAAGAUGUGAACUUUUCUGACUUUUCCAUGUAAAAAUAUCAUGCAUUGCGUUUUUUCAGUAUUUAGUUAGAGACUAUAUUUUUUGCAAUAAACGUUUAAAGUAUCUUUCUGCUUUUUCUGCUUUCUUCAUAGCAUUUUUGGCAUGUAUAACAGUAUCAUUUGCAUACAAAAGCAGUAAUAAGUACAGAUAAUGACCAACAUUACUAACAUCGUACUAACUUGCAAAGGUUUGAGUCAAUACCAGUCCCUGAACAUACUGAAAAAGAAAUACUUUUAGGUCAUUUAAAAACAGUGAGAAAAGUACAGGCAACAAGUCCCUGCCACAGUCCAACAUUACAGGUAAAGAAGGAGGAUAAUCCAUGCUGUGUUUUAACACAGGAAUUUGCCUUUUGGUAAAUAUAUUUUAUUUCAUUCAACAUUUUACUACCUAUUCAUUAACUAAUCAGCUUUUCCCACAGUAUAUGCUUGUGUAGAUUGUGAAAGGCCUUCCUAUUAAUUAACUAGCCGCUACCAAAGUACACGACUCGCAACUGCGUUCAACGAGCGCCGCCAACAUUGUAGUACAUGAUCUACAUCACGUUGGUACACCAUUCACAACACUGCCAACUGUCGACACCAAUUAGAGCGAUGUGCAGGUUAUUCGGACGUUGAAAGUCUGUAUUUCUCGAGCUAAAGAAGCAGUUUUUCAGAAACACGAGAAAUGCUGUCUGUCAGCGUCCGAAUAUUCCGUAUUGUCCCUCAUUCUCUCUCACUCUGAUUGGUGUCGGCUGCAGACAAUAUUGGGAAUGGUGCACUAGCGUGACGUAGUACACUGUUACGGCUCUCGUUGAUCGCAUUUGGGAAUCGUAGCGAAUAAUUAAUUAGCAGAUGGGUUUUGGAGGCGGAAAUUUACAGUUUGUUUUAUAUCGCCUAUAUCUACUGAUAUCUCAAAACACGCAAGCUUUCAGGUUGGUCUUUUCUGUGACACACGACAGGUGAAGGACUUGCAAAUAACUUCCGCGUUUGAAGAAAACCUGUUUGCCUAUCCAGAAAUUCACGAACCUUUUUGUCAACAGCAAGUAGCAAACCUGCAUUAACUAAGCUGACUAUAUGUGCCGCAUCUAUACGAACGUUACGAGAUGUAUGCCACGAUGAAUACACUGGUGGAGUACUUAUUCUUUCUCGCACCAUUAAGACUUAGUCAAGCAAAGAUAACAUCCUCGUGUGGCACGGCGGACAGUUACUGGGAAGUGCGAGAGGGUAAAAAGGACAACACAUUCACCUGCACAGGACUGUCUGCAAACGACACCGUGACGUGGAACUUACGGGAGAAUGAACUCUUCCCUAAUGACCCUGACCUUGGUUCCUGCCGUCCUCGUCUAUCAAAUGGAAGUUUUCCUCCUUGUGAAAUGCCAUAUAACCCAUAUUUCAAACCGAGCAGACUUUCAGAUGAUGCAGGAAUAAUGAUUUUUAAUUCAUCAUCAUCUUCAGCGUCGACCUUUUUCGACAGAGGACGAAUAGUCUGCUCAAUUUUGGGGUCAACUAGUGCUGGUUGUCGCUUGGACUACAUAUAUUCGCCUGAAAAUAUUUCUUGCACGGUUGAGUUCAGUAACGAUUUCUGGAGCGUGCUUGGCCAGUGUGACAUCAAAAAAACCAAUUCGUCACAAAAGCGGUACAGGUGCGAGUGGACUCAGACAAAAGAGUCGCCAGAAGAAGUAAUCCUUAUUGCCAACACAUCCAUGCUUGUUGUGCCUCAUGAUGGGAAAUACGUCAGCGGAACUUGCAACCUCACCAGUUAUCUGCCAUCCAACGGUCAGUACACUUACAGUGUGACUGUUGUUCCUGGCGAAGUCAUAGUCAACGCAAAUUUCAUCGGCAGUAAUGAAAUACGUCGCCCUAACGAUAAGACUUUUCACAACUGUCCACAAUAUGUAGCAGAGGGCGGCAACCUUACCUGUACGUGUUCUGUCCGUGACUUGGGCAGCCCACCUGGUGUUUUAUACUGGUAUCCUACUCUAUCAACACAGCUGAAUCUUUCAAAUGUGAGUCGUACAGAUUCUACGAAAUAUAGCUGCCAGCUUCACUGGAACAAUACUCUUGAGCAGUCUGAGAACUACACCGUCAAUGUGGCAUACGGGCCAGAUACUGUGAUACCUAUAAUCAGCCCUCAGCCCUUGGAUACAGACGGAUUUCAGAGUAUAACCCUGAACUGCACAUCUUCACAGUCAAAUCCACCUGCCAGUGUCACCUGGAUCAGAUCACCUGACACAACUGUUUUGUGUAGCAGUCAGCUUUGUGUUUUCACUCCAAAGCCUCCUGAAGAAGAUGGAAUUAUUCUAAACUGUCUGGCGAGAAAUCCUGUCACCAACAGAACUUCUUCAAACAACGUGACAGUAACACUUAAUUAUCCCCCUAAUUCAUCGCCAGUAAUUACAGUAAGUCCAAGUUUCGCGGACAUUGCCUAUGAAGGUGACAACAUUACAGUGAGGUGCACAGUCAGUGGUGGUAAGCCUGUUACUGCCACUGUCAUCACGUUGGCCUGUCCCUACAAGACUGACAUGACACCUGGCAACUCUGACUCAUCCAGCAUCAGCAGCAGCCUGAUGUUUCUGCCAGUGAGGUCUGAGAACCAUGGCCGCUGUGUCUGUAAUGCCAAAUGGAAAAGGUCUGAUUGGUACAACAAGACUGUCAGCUGGAAUCUCACUGUUUACUCCCCUCCAUCUGAACCAGUCAUUUUUCCACUGAAUAACACAGAAGGAAGAAGUUUGUAUCCAUUCAUGGCAGGAACCUCUGGUAUGCUGCGUUGUAACAGCAAUCAGUCGGGUCGACCUGAAGCCACCUUCUCUUGGUCUUUUAAUGCAACUGGUCAGACUUCAGGGGGUAACCUGACUUUCUACAAUCUGUCUAAAGAAGAUAACGGGAGAACAGUGAAGUGCAGGGCCAGCAACGAAUACACAGAGAACAGGCGGCCGGUUGCUGAUGCUACUUUUAUCCUACAGGUUUACUAUAAACCUGUUGUAAGCUUCAGAGAUAUCUCUGAAGAAAAUGACUGUGUGAUGGCAUCUGACUACAAAUAUUGUGUUGUUGCUGAAGGACAGAGAGCUUACAUACAUUGUACUGCUGACAGCAAUCCAGCACCUGCAUCAUUCACUUGGCUUAGCCCAAGCAAAGAUGUUAUCUCUAACAAUAGCGAGCUGGUGAUAACCUCUGCUAAUCACUUGAUCCACCAUGGCGACUACAGCUGUACAGUAGUUACUGAACGAAAUGGAGACAGCCGCCUGCCUCUUAUUUCAUCUGCGACACUGACUGUUAUUGUUGGUUACUCCCCCAGUGUCAUAAGCUUCAGUAUAAACAAUGUGGACAACAUGACUGUGAAUGUUCAAGAGAAAUCACGAGUGGAGAUGAAGUGCCUUAGCAAGGGCAGACCCACUCCCAGCAUUCAGCUCAUUAAUUCUACAGAACCCGAACAGUCACUAAAUGAGACUCAACCUACAGGCAACAUCUCUGUUGACAAAACCACAGAGGAAGUUACUCUCACCAUAGAGGACGUUCAGUGUGAGGCUUCCAGAGUGUAUAGAUGUGAUGUCAACAACAGUCUUGGGCAGGACAAAGUGACUCGAACAUUACUUGUGUCAUGUGCUCCCAGAAGAAUCUACAUUGAAGGAAAGGCUCCAAUUAUCAAUAUUACCAGUGGAAGAGGAGAACUCAUUUUUAGAAUCACUGCAUACCCCAUACCAAUGGUCAAGAAAAUUACCUUUCAUGGCACAAAUGAGACCUCAGAUGGACAGCCUACAAAAGAAAAUACUAUAAAUGUGGAAUGUUCUGCCAGCUCUUUGGCCCCAGCUGCAUUCACCUGCAUUAUCAGAGUUGUUAACUUAACACGCAGUGAUGAAGGAUUUUACAGAAUUCUUCUCAGCAACAACAUUGGGGAGUUGCCUUUUAUGUUCUCUGUUAAAGGCAACACAAAAGGGUUCAGUAUCUUUGACACAUACCCAGAUUGUACCAAGAAGAAGCUGUGUCAGGAACUGAGGAGAAAGGCGAGGCAAGCACAAUGUCAGACGACAAAAUCACGAUCAUCGUGCUGGCCGUGGCUUUCUCAGUUCUCGCUGUUGUGAUUGUCGUUGUCGUCAUCUGGUCCUGGCGGCGGGGAUGGAUGUUACCAUGCGCUGACAUUUCCCAUCAAAGGCCUUUACAGCAGAACGAGAUAAGGGAUAACACAUCUGAGAAGCGUUUGACUUCAACGACUACGUCAGAAA
rnacentral:misc_RNA from 1 species